UGGAACUGAGCGCGGAGGAGGAGCGCGCAUGCGCGCCGCGGGUGGAGCCGCUGGGCAAAGAACCGGAAACUUAAGAGACAAAGUUCCGAGCCCCGCCCCCCGCCGCGCUGCCCCACCGUCUGGCCCAGCGGACCCACAAACCGACCGAUCCACGCACGGACGGAUCUGCCCGCUCUUGAGAGCGCCAUGUCUGGUUCCUCCAGCGUCGCCGCUAUGAAGAAAGUGGUUCAACAGCUCCGGCUGGAAGCCGGGCUCAACCGAGUGAAGGUUUCCCAGGCAGCUGCAGAUUUGAAACAAUUCUGUCUGCAGAAUGCCCAACACGACCCCCUGCUAACUGGUGUAUCUUCAAGUACGAAUCCCUUCAGACCCCAAAAAGUCUGUUCCUUUUUGUAGUAAAAUGAAUCUUUGGAUGGUUUUCUAAACCACUUUUCAUGAACCAGUGAAUAUUCAAAGGAGAAUUAAAUUUGAAGCCUGUACAAAAGCUUAUUAUCCCUAUAACACGUGCCAUACUAUAUAAACUUCUACUUUUGUCAGUCCUUAACAUCUACCUCUCUCAAUUUUCAUAAAUUUCUAUUUCACAAGGGUAAUUAUUUUAUAUACACUGGCGGCAGCAUACAAUAAAAUACUUACCCAUGUGAGAUAUAAAU